rnacentral:tRNA from 1 species
GGCUCCAUAGCUCAACUGGAUAGAGUAUCCGCCUUCUAAGCGGAUUGUUGCAGGUUCGAGUCCUGCUGGAGUCGCCA